GCCCCGCCGGGCACCGCGGCCUCCCGGCACCCCGGGGCUCCCGGGCUUUGGGCGCCUUCUCCCUGCGGGGAGGUCCAGGCAUCCAGGGAUUCCUGCCAACAGAUGCACUCUUCAUAACACACUGCUUACCAGUUUUGCAUGUCACUCUGUCCCUUCACCUGGUUCAAGGCUGUGAAAAACUAGAAGACUAGAGCUAACAGCUCCUGCUGGCUUACUAGGCAAAUCUGGCUCACACAAUUUUUUUACUAACUGUUUUCAAUGGCAGUCAUUCAGCCACGGAUUUUCCAGCAAUAACAAGACUUGCAGUUGUGCAGAUUCAUAGUUUCCUACUUUUCUCCUUAGAAUGAUGUGUCACUGUUAUUAUAUUACAAAAUCCAUUGCCAAACCCAAAUCUAUAUAUCAGAAAAAUGUUCAGUUCUACCAACAGUAUAAGAAACUAGUGCCUGUAAUGCAUUAAUCAAAUUUGAACAUAUUCCUCAUAAUUCUUCCUUCAACUGAAUCUCCUGUUCUCCAUAUAAUACCUUUAUUCUGCCUGUGCCUAUUGUUCUACAGAUUCAAAAUACUUAACUCUUCCUCUGCCUAAUGUAAAUCUAGAAUGGCAAGAACCAAGUAGCCACUUACAUACUCAAGUAAAAUUGUUAUUUAUGCCAAUAAAGGUCUUUCCUGAGCAAACAGAAAGGCAAAGUUCAAAACCUGGAUGGAAGGAAUUCAAAUCAGGAAACAGAAUAGUGGCAAAGCAGUGUUAAUGAAAUAGCCCCUGCCAUUUUCGGUACCAAUGCACAAUGAGUUUAAGCAGAUAUAUGGUUUGAGGAGUUUCCCACACAAAAUGUCACCUGCUAAACCUUGAACGAGUGUUACUUUCCUCUCCUUUGUUUCACCUUUUUAGCACUUGUAUGCCUAUGCAGUCAGUGAAAUUAAAUGCUUGAUAGAGCUGAGAUGAGUCAUCAUGCUGUCAGGGAGAAAAGAGCAGAAAUCAUGGCUCAGGAGGAGGAGUAUCAGCAAUUCAAAUUCAGGUUGUCUUAUGUUGGUCAUGAAACCAAGUCUUCCAACAACCUCAUCUACUGAGAUAAUACGUUCAGAAGAACUGCUGAGUAUCACGUCUUCUGACAUCAAGUCCCUUACUUUUCCACUCACCUUAGUUCUUUUUAACCUCAAACUGGAUUUUCGAGAAGCAUGAGUUUUGUGACUUAUUGCAAACUCUGCUUACAUCUGUUAUUAUUCAGUAAAUGAACAGCUGUUGAUUUCCGUUGAAAUCUGUUGUUUGUGGUCCUUGAUAUUCAGAAACUACUGGAUACUGUCUCUUAGAAAAUUGGUCCUUUUUAUGUGGGCACUCAUUUUAGGCACUCAUAAUCACCUGUAAUUUCAGAAAAAUGUUAGUAGAAUUUUUAAAGACAAUAUAGUCAGUGCUGAAUUUGGGAUUAAAAGUAAACCUUCCCAUUUUAAAAACAACAAAAUAAAAUGACAAUGUAGAUAUAGUAGACUUCAGCUAUUUUGAGGAUCUUAUUUCAUUGAUGUCCUACUGCUUUUAUAAAAAUGGCAUUAUACACUGUGAAGACAACCUGUUAAAUGGCUAACAGAGACAUCUCUCCAAGUAGUUGACAACAGAAAAUCAUCAGAUGGAGAAGUUCCCCAGGAACUGACAGUAGGCUGCUUCUGUUAACACCUCCUGUAAUCACACAGGAGCAAGCAGAAAUGUUGCUGAUAUAAUUUCCAGAUGACACAAAACCCAGUAAAAAUGGUCAUGUCAGUGAGCUCAGGAAAGCAUGGAGUGAUCUGGGUGACUUGUCCAUUUAAAGAAAAUCUUUCUUUACACAGCUACAUGUUAAGUCAUUGACUUCAGAAGAAAGAGUGCAAGAUGUUUUUACAGACUGGAAAGACUUUAUCUUGGAAAGCAGUGCUUCUAAAAGGGUUUGGGGAUCAAAACGGAGAAACAGCUCAACUUCAAUUUCCAGAAUAAUUCUGUAGAGAAAGGGGCUAAUGAGAUUCUUGCUUAUUUCAAGAGGGAGACCAAAAAUAGGAAUUGGGAGUCUUCCCUCUGUAAAGCACUCCUGAGACCAGUAAAAAAAAAAUUACAGAUUUGGUGUUCAUGUGUUCAAAAGGAUAUGGAUAAAUAGGAGAGGUGCAGAAAAGAGACACAGGAAUUAUUCAUAAGCUGCAGGAAAUGCCUUGAAGUGAAAAGACUGUGAGAGUUCACAGCCUUUAUCUAAACACUUUUUG